AGCCUUUUCAGUUUGGACUUUGGAAAAUAUUCAAAAUAACCUUUUUCUUUGUUCUGUUCACUCAGAAUGUCUGCGCAUGACCGUCCGCCCUGACAAAGAUGCUACUGUGACUGUGUCGUCCUCACUGCUCCUUCCAUUGGAACAGUGUUCCGUAUGCAAGGUCAAUGGCACUGAGAAUGACACCCAGACGACCUGUCACUCAUCGCUGGCCCUGGUCCCCGAUGAGGAUGUCACCUUGCUCUUCAACUGCACUGAACCACCACAAAGUGCUUUCGUCAUCCAGAUCCACAGGAAAAUCGAAUGCACCAAUGACACCUGCAGCCCUGCCACAGGUGUGGCUCAGCCUUCCCUCUUCUCAGAGUUCAUUAGAACACUCGUCUGGGACCUAAGUGUGCCGGAGAAGACCGUUAUGAAUUUGGACUUCCCUGUUGACAGGCUGAAGGAGAUGACUGAAUCAGAGUUGUGUAAAGAUGGCUACCAGUACACUGUAACCAGGACCAACACUGAACGAGAGGUCAAAACUCAGACAUACUGCAAGAAUGGCCUCGUGGCUCACCUUCAUAUACCGAGCCAAUCCACGGUGUCUUUGCAAGUUCCAAAAGGCAGAGAGGUGGAUUCCUCUAUAUUCACAGCCAAACCCAUAAAGAAACGUAAGCUCUUUCAACUGUUCUGUUCAUGUCUAACUCUAAUGUGAGAAGUGUAUGUACAGUGAAUUAUCUUUUGUUGAAAUAUCAGAUCUAUAAAUUAGUGUUUACGUUUCAAAUUUUCCUCAGAGAGCCGGAUGAUCUCCGUGACUCCAGAGCCAGACACUAUUGUCACCAUCAGCAGAAACACCAAAGCCAAAGAGUGCAGUGUGUGUGUUGGGGAGGGGCCUACCUGCAACCCCAAAGAACUCGUCCUGAGAGCUGCCCGCAACACCUCUGUGAAGUUCACCUGCCCACAGCCACAAGAUGUCUUCAGUGUGGAGAUCAACAGAGAGAUUGGUAAGAUGCCUCAGACCCAUUUUCCUGGCCUCAGCAGGGCCCUGACUUCUAAUAGCAUUUGAUUGAGCAUGCCUAACACAAUGGACCCAAUGAAAUAGUCUCGACAGUGCAAAAGCUGCUCAUCUGUUAGCUUCACUAAUACAAUGUUUUUCCUCCUCCAGAUUGCACAGAGAUCACCUGCAGUGGGAACAUCGUCCAGACGGAGUCCUCCCUCUUCCCAGACUUCAACAGAACCUUCACCUGGGACCUGAAAGUACCACCUGGCCUUUCCUUCCAGCUGGACUUCCCAUCGCCGGGAAUGAGACAGAUUCCACCCUCUGAGACCUGUCCUGACGAGCAUACCUACACCAUCAUCACGUACCAGCGCACCGGGCUCGCCACCAUCGGCAUUUUUUGCCUAGGCGGCAGCAUCACUAGAAUCCAGGUGUUGUACAAGGGCCGGG
rnacentral:lncRNA from 13 species